rnacentral:rRNA from 1 species
GAUGAACGCUGGCGGCGUGCCUAAUACAUGCAAGUCGAGCGAACGGACGAGAAGCUUGCUUCUCUGAUGUUAGCGGCGGACGGGUGAGUAACACGUGGAUAACCUACCUAUAAGACUGGGAUAACUUCGGGAAACCGGAGCUAAUACCGGAUAAUAUUUUGAACCGCAUGGUUCAAAAGUGAAAGACGGUCUUGCUGUCACUUAUAGAUGGAUCCGCGCUGCAUUAGCUAGUUGGUAAGGUAACGGCUUACCAAGGCAACGAUGCAUAGCCGACCUGAGAGGGUGAUCGGCCACACUGGGACUGAGACACGGUCCAGACUCCUACGGGAGGCAGCAGUAGGGAAUCUUCCGCAAUGGGCGAAAGCCUGACGGAGCAACGCCGCGUGAGUGAUGAAGGUCUUCGGAUCGUAAAACUCUGUUAUUAGGGAAGAACAUAUGUGUAAGUAACUGUGCACAUCUUGACGGUACCUAAUCAGAAAGCCACGGCUAACUACGUGCCAGCAGCCGCGGUAAUACGUGGGUGGCAAGCGUUAUCCGGAAUUAUUGGGCGUAAAGCGCGCGUAGGCGGUUUUUUAAGUCUGAUGUGAAAGCCCACGGCUCAACCGUGGAGGGUCAUUGGAAACUGGAAAACUUGAGUGCAGAAGAGGAAAGUGGAAUUCCAUGUGUAGCGGUGAAAUGCGCAGAGAUAUGGAGGAACACCAGUGGCGAAGGCGACUUUCUGGUCUGUAACUGACGCUGAUGUGCGAAAGCGUGGGGAUCAAACAGGAUUAGAUACCCUGGUAGUCCACGCCGUAAACGAUGAGUGCUAAGUGUUAGGGGGUUUCCGCCCCUUAGUGCUGCAGCUAACGCAUUAAGCACUCCGCCUGGGGAGUACGACCGCAAGGUUGAAACUCAAAGGAAUUGACGGGGACCCGCACAAGCGGUGGAGCAUGUGGUUUAAUUCGAAGCAACGCGAAGAACCUUACCAAAUCUUGACAUCCUUUGACAACUCUAGAGAUAGAGCCUUCCCCUUCGGGGGACAAAGUGACAGGUGGUGCAUGGUUGUCGUCAGCUCGUGUCGUGAGAUGUUGGGUUAAGUCCCGCAACGAGCGCAACCCUUAAGCUUAGUUGCCAUCAUUAAGUUGGGCACUCUAAGUUGACUGCCGGUGACAAACCGGAGGAAGGUGGGGAUGACGUCAAAUCAUCAUGCCCCUUAUGAUUUGGGCUACACACGUGCUACAAUGGACAAUACAAAGGGUAGCGAAACCGCGAGGUCAAGCAAAUCCCAUAAAGUUGUUCUCAGUUCGGAUUGUAGUCUGCAACUCGACUACAUGAAGCUGGAAUCGCUAGUAAUCGUAGAUCAGCAUGCUACGGUGAAUACGUUCCCGGGUCU